GUCUACGGCCACACCACUGUGAAAGCACCGCUUCUCGUCCGCUCAGCGAAGUUAAGCACAGUCGGGCCGGGAUAGUACUUGGAUGGGUGACCGCCUGGGAACUCCCGGUGCCGUAAACG